rnacentral:lncRNA from 1 species
UUUGACUAUGUUGAAUAUCAGACACAAAACCAUAGGUUAGGUAGGGUAAGGGUUAAAAUAUGUUAUACAUCUUUCCACCUUUUAUUUGUCAUUAGCUUGUGGGGGUGUAAUAGUACUUCAUGUGGACCCAAAUAUGGACUCUCUCUCUUGCUUCUUCCCUUUUUCCCUCUCACUCAUAUAGUAACAAAUUAUGAAAAUUUCAACUAUACCAAUAAGAAAAGGAUUUUGAUUAGGUUGAAUAUCAGACACACAAUCAUAAGCUAUGGUUAAGGUUAAGUUAGGGACAGGUUGUUAGGUUAGGGUUAAAAUACAUUUUUUUUAAAUGGUUAACAUGCAUGUUAACACCUUUUUUUGUGUUUAGCUAGUAUGAAGUAUAAUAGUACUUCAUAUGGACCGAAAUAUGGUCUCUCUCUUUCUCUCACUCAUAGAAUAAAUUAUGUUGAAAAUAACAACAUGAAUAAGAAAGAUCAUUUUGGAUAUGUUAAAUAUCAGUCACAAAAUGAAAGGUUAUGUUUAGGGACAAGUUAGGUAUGGAAAGGUUGUUAGGUUAGGGUUAAAAUACAUUUUUUUUAAAUGGUUAACAUACAUGUUAACACCUUUUUUUGUGCUUAGCUAGUAUGAAGUACAAUAGUACUUCAUAUGGACCGAAAUAUGGUCUCUCACUCAUAGAAUAAAUUAUGUUGAAAAUAACAACAUGAAUAAGAAAAAUAUUUUGGAUAUGUUGAAUAUCAGUUACAAAAUGAAAGGUUAUGUUUAGGGCCAAUUAGGUAUGGACAGGUUGUUAGGUUAGGGAAGGUUAGGGUUAAAAUAAUUUUUUUUUAAACGGUUAAUAUACAUGUUAACAUCUUUUUUUGUGCUUAGCUAGUAUGAAGUAUAAUAGUACUUCAUAUGGACCGAAAUAUGGUCUCUCACUCAUAGAAUAAAUUAUGUUGAAAAUAACAACCUGAUUAAGAACAAUAUGUUGAAUGCAACAAUAUGUUGGAUAUGUUGAAUAUCAUUCACAAAAUGAAAGGUUAUGUUUAGGGCCAAGUUAGGUAUGGACAGGUUGUUAGGUUAGGGUUAAAAUACAUUUUUUUAAAUGGUUAACAUACAUGUUAACACCUUUUUUUGUGCUUAGCUUGUAUGAAGUAUAAUAGUACUUCAUAUGGACCGAAAUAUGGUCUCUCAUUCAAAAUGAAAGGUUAUGCUUAGGGCCAAGUUAAGUAUGGACAGGUUGUUAGGUCAGGUAGUGUUUGAGUUAUAUGUUAUAAAUCUUUCCACCUAUACUUUGUGUUUUGCUUGUAUUGAGUGUAAUAGUACUCCCUAUGAAACCAAAUAUUUUUCUCUUCCUUCCUCCCUAUCUCUCUCGCACUCAUACAAUAACAUUAUAAAUCACAACUACACCAUUAGAACACAAUUUUUGACUGUGGAGAAUAUCAGCCAUGAAAUCAUCCAAAUUGGGCACAAUUGGUUUGAUUUGACAUUAAUAUAUAAAAACUUAAAAGUGCAUAAUUUUAAUACCGAUAUAUAUUUAGGUUAAGUUCACAAAUUCCUUUCACAUUGCCGGGUAGUGCACACGGGUUGAGUCAGGUUAAAUCAGGCUAGGUUAAAAUUCGAAACUAUUCAUUUUUAGAAUUUGUUAUUUUAAUCAAACUCCCUGAAAAAUUAAAAAAUAUAUAAAGCCAAUGUUAUAGUAAAAUACAAAAUCUCAAGGUAUUGCAAUAUUUUUGACAAGGGGUGUUGGUAAGAUUGACAAUACACGGCUGUGCUCAAUAACUUGCAAACUAUGCAAUAAAACCUUGGUUCAUCCUUGUAUCAAUAAAAUUUAACAGAUGCAUGAAGGGAACAGUUAUUAAUAAUUUUGUAACGCAUACAGAAAUAAAAGGCACACAUUACUUACACUCUUUAAUCCACUUUAGUGAUUUCUUAAAGCCUACUGUUUAAAAAAA